rnacentral:rRNA from 1 species
GAUGAACGCUGGCGGCGUGCCUAAUACAUGCAAGUCGAGCGAACGGACGAGAAGCUUGCUUCUCUGAUGUUAGCGGCGGACGGGUGAGUAACACGUGGAUAACCUACCUAUAAGACUGGGAUAACUUCGGGAAACCGGAGCUAAUACCGGAUAAUAUUUUGAACCGCAUGGUUCAAAAGUGAAAGACGGUCUUGCUGUCACUUAUAGAUGGAUCCGCGCUGCAUUAGCUAGUUGGUAAGGUAACGGCUCACCAAGGCAACGAUGCAUAGCCGACCUGAGAGGGUGAUCGGCCACACUGGAACUGAGACACGGUCCAGACUCCUACGGGAGGCAGCAGUAGGGAAUCUUCCGCAAUGGGCGAAAGCCUGACGGAGCAACGCCGCGUGAGUGAUGAAGGUCUUCGGAUCGUAAAACUCUGUUAUUAGGGAAGAACAUAUGUGUAAGUAACUGUGCACAUCUUGACGGUACCUAAUCAGAAAGCCACGGCUAACUACGUGCCAGCAGCCGCGGUAAUACGUAGGUGGCAAGCGUUAUCCGGAAUUAUUGGGCGUAAAGCGCGCGUAGGCGGUUUUUUAAGUCUGAUGUGAAAGCCCACGGCUCAACCGUGGAGGGUCAUUGGAAACUGGAAAACUUGAGUGCAGAAGAGGAAAGUGGAAUUCCAUGUGUAGCGGUGAAAUGCGCAGAGAUAUGGAGGAACACCAGUGGCGAAGGCGACUUUCUGGUCUGUAACUGACGCUGAUGUGCGAAAGCGUGGGGAUCAAACAGGAUUAGAUACCCUGGUAGUCCACGCCGUAAACGAUGAGUGCUAAGUGUUAGGGGGUUUCCGCCCCUUAGUGCUGCAGCUAACGCAUUAAGCACUCCGCCUGGGGAGUACGACCGCAAGGUUGAAACUCAAAGGAAUUGACGGGGACCCGCACAAGCGGUGGAGCAUGUGGUUUAAUUCGAAGCAACGCGAAGAACCUUACCAAAUCUUGACAUCCUUUGACAACUCUAGAGAUAGAGCCUUCCCCUUCGGGGGACAAAGUGACAGGUGGUGCAUGGUUGUCGUCAGCUCGUGUCGUGAGAUGUUGGGUUAAGUCCCGCAACGAGCGCAACCCUUAAGCUUAGUUGCCAUCAUUAAGUUGGGCACUCUAAGUUGACUGCCGGUGACAAACCGGAGGAAGGUGGGGAUGACGUCAAAUCAUCAUGCCCCUUAUGAUUUGGGCUACACACGUGCUACAAUGGGCAAUACAAAGGGCAGCGAAACCGCGAGGUCAAGCAAAUCCCAUAAAGUUGUUCUCAGUUCGGAUUGUAGUCUGCAACUCGACUACAUGAAGCUGGAAUCGCUAGUAAUCGUAGAUCAGCAUGCUACGGUGAAUACGUUCCCGGGUCU